GCUCGUGAUAGAAAUUUGAAAUAGAUCAUUUGCAGCGAAAACUCAGUGUGGGUUGCUUGCAGUAAGGGCUUGGAGUCCGGCUCCCAUAGGAGUCCGGACGAAGUCUUCCUGCAGCCGAAGUCGGGGAUGAAGUUCGGCUUCCGUAAGAGUCCAGGCGAAGUCCUCUUGCAGUUGAAGUCGGGGAUGAAGUCCGGAUGAAGUCUUCCAGC
rnacentral:lncRNA from 1 species